rnacentral:rRNA from 1 species
UUUAAUAAGAUUAAUUUUAUUAUUGUAAUAUUUAUAGUUAUUAAAAAAAAUAUUUGUUUUUUUAGUAUAUUGAAAAAAAAUAAUUUUUUUAUUUAUAGUUUAUAGUACUGUGGAGGAAUAUUUUUGAAAAAUAUAAAGUAAAUUUUAUUUAUUGUACCUUUUGCAUCAGGGUUAAUUAAAAUAUUAUAUUUAUUAUAUUUUUCUCGAAUAGAGAAGAGAUAAAAUUAAAUGUUAUUUAUUGUCUCAAAAAUAUUGAGAAUUUAAUUUUAGUAAUGAUAUGUUAUUCGUUUCUUUUAUAUCUGGUUUUUUUAGAAAUAGAUUGAAUCUAGAUUUGAUUAUAUAUUUUAAUAAGUAUAAAAUCAAAUUAAAGUUUUUGGGGAUAAGCUCGAGAAUUUAAUUUAAAACUUAUGAAGAGAUUGAAUUAUUGUAGGCCUGGUAUUAGCCAUCAUUAAUUUUGUUAUAAAAUAUUUUUGUUUAAAUUUUAUUUUUAUUAUGGUUUAAUUUUUUAUAAAAAUUAUUUAUUUAAUAAUUUAUUAUAUUAAAUAAUGAUUAAAUUAGUAUUAUUUUUAAUUAAAUUAUAGUAAUUCAGCAAAUUUAAUUCUCGCCUGUUUAACAAAAACAUGUCCUUGAGUUAUGGUUUGUAUUUAAGGUUUAACCUGCCCAAUGAAUAUUGUUUUAAUGGCCGCGGUAUUUUAACCGUGCUAAGGUAGCAUAAUCAUUUGUCUUUUAAUUGAAGGCUUGUAUGAAGGGUUGGACGAGGAAUUGGCUUUCUUUAAUUUAAGUAAAAUGAAAUUAAUUUUUUAGUUAAAAGGCUAAAAUUUUUUUAUGGGACGAGAAGACCCUGUAGAUUUUUAUAUUUAAAUUUUAAAUUUAAAUUUAGUUAAUGUAGUUUAUAUUAUUAAAAUAAAUAUUUGGUUGGGGUGAUUGUAGAAUUUAAAAUAACUUCUAUUUGAUUAUGUCAUAAAUUAAUGUACUUUUGAUCCAUUAUUAGUGAUAAUAAGAUUAAAUUACCUCAGGGAUAACAGCGUAAUUUUUUCGGAGAGUUCUUAUCGAUGAAGAAGUUUGCGACCUCGAUGUUGGAUUAAAAUAAGUAAUGGGCGCAGUAGCUUAAGUAACUAGGUUUGUUCAACCUUUAAUUUUUUACAUGAUCUGAGUUCAGACCGGCGUGAGCCAGGUCAGUUUCUAUCUAUAAAUUUAAAAUUGUAUUUUAGUACGAAAGGACCAAUUACAGGGAAUAAUUUUUUGUUUUUGAUUAAAAUU